CCCUUAGAUGUUCUGGGCCGCACGCGCGCUACACUGACGGAUUCAACGAGCUUACAACCUUGGCCGAAAGGUCUGGGUAAUCUCCAAAAUCCGUCGUGAUGGGGAUAGAUUAUUGCAAUUAUUAAUCUUCAACGAGGAAUGCCUAGUAAGCGCAAGUCAUCAGCUUGCGUUGAUUACGUCCCUGCCCUUUGUACACACCGCCCGUCGCUCCUACCGAUUGAAUGGUCCGGUGAAGCGUUUGGACUAUGGUUUUCUGAUGGUCCGCCGUUGGAUUACCGUGGGGAGUUCGUUAAACCUUAUCAUUUAGAGGAAGGAGAAGUCGUAACA
rnacentral:rRNA from 1 species